rnacentral:rRNA from 1 species
UACGGGGGGGGCAAGCGUUGUUCGGAAUUACUGGGCGUAAAGGGCGCGUAGGCGGCCUGCUAAGUCGGACGUGAAAUCCCUCGGCUCAACCGGGGAACUGCGUCCGAUACUGGCGAGGCUUGAAUCCGGGAGAGGGAUGUGGAAUUCCAGGUGUAGCGGUGAAAUGCGUAGAUAUCAUCAGGAACACCCGUGGCGAAGGCGGCUCACUGGGUCUUUUCUGACGCUGAGGUACGAAAGCCAGGGGAGCGAACGGG